CCUACGGGAGGCAGCAGUAGGGAAUAUUGCACAAUGGGGGAAACCCUGAAGCAGCAACGCCGCGUGGAGGAUGAAGGAUUUCGGUAUGUAAACUUCUAUCGUCAGAGAAGAUAAUGACGGUACCUGAUGAAUAAGCACCGGCUAACUCCGUGCCAGCAGCCGCGGUAAUACGUAGGGUGCAAGCGUUAUCCGGAUUUACUGGGUGUAAAGGGCGCGUAGACGGCAUAGCAAGUCUGGAGUGAAAUGCUAGGGCUUAACCCCGGAACUGCUUUGGAAACUGUGCAGCUAGAGUGUAGGAGAGGUAAGUGGAAUUCUGAGUGUAGCGGUGAAAUGCGUAGAUAUCAGGAGGAAUACUAGUGGCGAAGGCGGCUUACUGGACCGUAACUGACGCUGAGGCGCGAAAGCGUGGGGAGCAAACAGGAUUAGAUACCCCGGUAGUC
rnacentral:rRNA from 1 species